rnacentral:lncRNA from 1 species
UGGACACGUGUCCCUUCUCCAGUAGAUCAGCGAGCCAGGGACUAAAUUGAAACACGCGACAAAUUUGAUGGCCAAAUCUAUAAAAAGAAAAAAGUAGAAAAAAGGACUAAAUUGAAGCGCGACUCAAAAGCGAAAGGACUAUUCAUGCAAAUAGCCCAAGCGUUGAAAAUACGCGGUGUAAUGGCCCAUUUUUGCCCGGGGCCCAAGAAUAAAAAAAACCAAAUAAAAGCCCAAAAUUAAACAGUCCAUUAUAACAAAAUUAACCCAAA